rnacentral:tRNA from 1 species
GAGGCUGUAGCUCAGUCGGUAGAGCAACGGACUUUUAAUCCGUAGGCCAAGGGUUCGAGUCCCUUCAGCCUCA